UCUACCUAUCCUUCACCAAUCCGGACCCUCAACGGGACACCGGCGUCUCUCCUGAGAGGUGCAGAUGCACAAGCAACUCCGGUCCAAAGCCCAAAGAUGUUGAGGAAGGUGGAGUACAGCUCUGCCACUAUGACAUGCAGAAUAGACGCCAACACCUACAUACACUGGUACCAGCAGCGUCCUGGACAGCCACUGCAGAGGAUGUUGUAUGUCUCAGGAGAAACACCUACAUAUGAUCACAGUUUCCCUAGCUGGAAGUUUAAGGUUCAGAAGCAUCCUAGAGAAGGCCUCUAUACUCUCAAAGUAGAUUAUUUAAACGAAAAGGAUUCUGGUGUUUAUUACUGUGCCUACUGGUUCUAUCUACGAGCACAACAUCAGAAGAGUAAAGCUAAGCCACACAAAAAGCCAUUUUUCACUCUGAACCACAAGCUCUGA